rnacentral:rRNA from 1 species
UACGGAGGGUGCGAGCGUUGUCCGGAAUCAUUGGGCGUAAAGGGCGCGUAGGUGGCGCGGCAAGCGUGCGGUGAAAGCUCGGGGCUCAACCCCGAGUCGGCCGUGCGAACUGCUGUGCUUGAGCACUGUAGAGGCAGGCGGAAUUCCGGGUGUAGCGGUGGAAUGCGUAGAGAUCCGGAAGAACACCGGUGGCGAAGGCGGCCUGCUGGGCAGUGGCUGACACUGAGGCGCGAAAGCGUGGGGAGCAAACAGG